GGCGAACGCUGGCGGCGUGCUUAACACAUGCAAGUCGAACGGAAAGGCCCUGCUUUUGUGGGGUGCUCGAGUGGCGAACGGGUGAGUAACACGUGAGUAACCUGCCCUUGACUUUGGGAUAACUUCAGGAAACUGGGGCUAAUACCGGAUAGGAGCUCCUGCUGCAUGGUGGGGGUUGGAAAGUUUCGGCGGUUGGGGAUGGACUCGCGGCUUAUCAGCUUGUUGGUGGGGUAGUGGCUUACCAAGGCUUUGACGGGUAGCCGGCCUGAGAGGGUGACCGGCCACAUUGGGACUGAGAUACGGCCCAGACUCCUACGGGAGGCAGCAGUGGGGAUUAUUGCACAAUGGGCGGAAGCCUGAUGCAGCAACGCCGCGUGCGGGAUGACGGCCUUCGGGUUGUAAACCGCUUUCGCCUGUGACGAAGCGUGAGUGACGGUAAUGGGUAAAGAAGCACCGGCUAACUACGUG
rnacentral:rRNA from 1 species